UAUUACCGCGGCUGCUGGCACGAAGUUAGCCGAGGCUGAUUCCUCAAGUACCGUCAUUCUGUUCUUCCUUGAGAAAAGCGGUUUACAACCCUAAGGCCUUCCUCCCGCACGCGGCGUUGCUCCGUCAGGCUUUCGCCCAUUGCGGAAAAUUCCCCACUGCUGCCUCCCGUAGGAAUCUC
rnacentral:rRNA from 1 species